rnacentral:lncRNA from 1 species
UGGAAUAUCUAUUACUUACUGAGUAGUUUAUACUCUUUCCUUUAUUAUUUUUAAAGUUCAAAUUUUGGUUGUGAGCGCGAAAUCUCUAGGGAGUGGCAUUCUUAAAUUUAAUGCAUUGUAAAAAUUUUAAAUGAUAAUACUUCUUCGAUUUUCAAGACUAAUAGAUAUUACUACUCAAGUUUUAACUUUUGAUUUGAAUUCUCUUAGUUUACUUUGUUUAUUUCGAAACUUACUUUUGAAUUCCCAAAUUGUAUCAAUGUUUAUAAAUUACAAUUGGAUAUUCCUUAAAAAAUUGUUUAGCUUGUUUGAUUUUAGUUCCUUUACUUGUAGCCUAGCAUAUUUAUGAGAUAGAAUCUCACAGAUAUGCAACGUCUGUUAAGCCUCAAUUCAAGGAGUGACCCUGAGAAUAGCUUUAGAAAUAUGACUUUAAUGCAUAAGGAUCCACUACUUAUGACUUGUUUAUAACUCUUUUGCAAUACGAACUUGUUUAUAUCUGUUGAAAAACUUGAGAUUUACUUGUAUUGACAAAAUAGAAAACCUUUUGUAGCACUA